rnacentral:tRNA from 1 species
GGCGGAGUAGCUCAGUGGUAGAGCAGGGGACUCAUAAGCCCUUGGCCGGUGGUUCGAAUCCGCCCUCCGCUACCA